rnacentral:rRNA from 1 species
UGGGGAAUAUUGGACAAUGGGGGAAACCCUGAUCCAGCGACGCCGCGUGUGUGAAGAAGGCCUGCGGGUUGUAAAGCACUUUCGGUGGGAACGAAAUAUGCCGGGCUAAUACCCCGGUAGGCUGACGUUACUCAAUGAAGAAGCACCGGCUAACUCUGUGCCAGCAGCCGCGGUAAUACGUAGGUGGCAAGCGUUGUCCGGAUUUAUUGGGUUUAAAGGGUGCGUAGGUGGCCCUGUAAGUCAGUGGUGAAAUAUCUCAGCUUAACUGAGAGGGUGCCAUUGAUACUGCAGGGCUUGAGUACAGAUGAGGUAGGCGGAAUUGACGGUGUAGCGGUGAAAUGCAUAGAUAUCGUCAAGAACACCGAUAGCGAAGGCAGCUUACCAAGCUGUAACUGACACUGAGGCACGAAAGUGUGGGGAUCAAACAGGAUUAGAUACCCGCGUAGUCCCUGAGCGGGCUGGCAAGGCGCAU